rnacentral:sRNA from 1 species
GCUGGGUAUAUUGCACACACCUGUAAUCCCAUCUACUGGGAGGCUGAGGUGGGGGGAUUGCAAUUUUGAGGCCAGCCUGGGCAAUUUAUCGAGACCUUGUUUCAA